rnacentral:rRNA from 1 species
AUUGAACGCUGGCGGCAGGCCUAACACAUGCAAGUCGAGCGGAUGACGGGAGCUUGCUCCUUGAUUCAGCGGCGGACGGGUGAGUAAUGCCUAGGAAUCUGCCUGGUAGUGGGGGACAACGUUUCGAAAGGAACGCUAAUACCGCAUACGUCCUACGGGAGAAAGCAGGGGACCUUCGGGCCUUGCGCUAUCAUAUGAGCCUAGGUCGGAUUAGCUAGUUGGUGAGGUAAUGGCUCACCAAGGCGACGAUCCGUAACUGGUCUGAGAGGAUGAUCAGUCACACUGGAACGGGGACACGGUCCAGACUCCUACGGGAGGCAGCAGUGGGGAAUAUUGGACAAUGGGCGAAAGCCUGAUCCAGCCAUGCCGCGUGUGUGAAGAAGGUCUUCGGAUUGUAAAGCACUUUAAGUUGGGAGGAAGGGCAGUAAGUUAAUACCUUGCUGUUUUGACGUUACCGACAGAAUAAGCACCGGCUAACUCUGUGCCAGCAGCCGCCGUAAUAC